rnacentral:rRNA from 1 species
GACGAACGCUGGCGGCGUGCCUAAUACAUGCAAGUAGAACGCUGAAGGAGGAGCUUGCUCUUCUGGAUGAGUUGCGAACGGGUGAGUAACGCGUAGGUAACCUGCCUUGUAGCGGGGGAUAACUAUUGGAAACGAUAGCUAAUACCGCAUAACAGUAGAUGUUGCAUGACAUUUACUUAAAAGUUGCAAUUGCAUCACUACCAGAUGGACCUGCGUUGUUUUAGCUAGUUGGUGGGGUAAAGGCUCACCAAGGCGACGAUACAUAGCCGACCUGAGAGGGGGAUCGGCCAAACUGGGACUGAGACACGGCACAGAGGCCUACGGGAGGCAGCAGGAGGGAAACUGGGGGAAUGGACGGAAGUCUGAACGAGAAACGCCGCGUGAGGGAAGAAGGAUGUCGGAUCGGAAAGAUCGGUUGUAAGAGAAGAAAGAGUGUGAGAGUGGAAAGUACACAGUGUGACGGUAACUGACAAGAAAGGGACGGCUAACUACGUG